UACGAAGGGGGCUAGCGUUGCUCGGAAUCACUGGGCGUAAAGCGCACGUAGGCGGGUCUUUAAGUCAGGGGUGAAAUCCCGGAGCUCAACUCCGGAACUGCCUUUGAUACUGGAGAUCUUGAGUCCGGGAGAGGUGAGUGGAACUCCGGGUGUAGAGGUGAAAUUCGUAGAUAUUCGGAAGAACACCAGUGGCGAAGGCGGCUCACUGGCCCGGUACUGACGCUGAGGUGCGAAAGCGUGGGGAGCAAACAGG
rnacentral:rRNA from 1 species